CUCCUACGGGGCGCAGCAGUAAGGGAUAUUGGUCAAUGGGGGAAACCCUGAACCAGCAACGCCGCGUGAGGGAAGACGGUUUUCGGAUUGUAAACUCCUUUUGUUAGAGAAGAUAAUGACGGUAUCUAACGAAUAAGCACCGGCUAACUCCGUGCCAGCAGCCGCGGUAAUACGGAGGGUGCAAGCGUUACUCGGAAUCACUGGGCGUAAAGAGCGCGUAGGCGGGAUAGCAAGUCAGAUGUGAAAUCCUUUGGCUUAACCAUAGAACUGCAUUUGAAACUGUUAUUCUAGAGUAUGGGAGAGGG
rnacentral:rRNA from 1 species